AAGCUUAAGUGUUUUCCCAGUCCUCAAUUACCUGGCGGCCGCCGCUCUGCUCCCCAUGGCUCAGACGGUGCUCCGGCGAGGUUUGGCGCUGCCGCUCGCUGACAUGGAUCCGGAGCCCAAGGAGGAGGCGAACGAGAAGUGAUCCUCCGUGCUUCUCUCUUUAGCGGCAAAAAUUGGAGGCCUUAGGGCAAGGAUAUGGUAUUAAUAAUGAGGAAAAUGAGGUUUCCUUCUUUCCUUAAGAGGUGUUGGGCGGUAAAGCUAGAGGUUUAUUAAAAACUAAAGGCAGUAAAGUGGAAGAAUUGGGACAUUAAAUACCUAUAGGGAGAGUGGCAAAGAGCCUGGCAGUGCAAAAUAUAAUGUUGAUGCUGGUCAUGUAACUGGCAUGCUGUGCAAAACUGAUUGGAUUCCUCACCAGUCCUGCUAUCAGUUGUUGGCUAUGUAUGUUGAAAGUCAACGUCAUGCUUGAAAUUUGAGAUGCUGCUUGUUCUACAAAGCUACUCUAGGUGUUGCUUACCUGCAUAACAAUAAAUACAUACAGAUUUGUAACUCCUACAAUUCAAAGUUUUGAACAGCAUGUUAAAGCUUUUAGAUCGAGACUAUUUUGGUCGGAGUGAGGCUUUGACGUGCUUGGUCCUGCACCUCAUGUGGUCCCUUUAAUUCAAUAAAAGGUUGUUACGAUUGGAUAUCAUCUCAUCAACUAACAUUCUUCUAUUAAUCUAUUAAGCUGCUAAGAGGUUACUGGUGAUUACAUGUCCUCAGUCACUAUAUGGUGGUUUGAUGGGAGGGAAAAAACUUACUACCAUCCACCAUCCUUUUGAUACAAGUGAUCACAGACUGCGGAAUCUUUUAAGCUCAAAGUUCCUAGUAUGUAAUCUUUCACCUUCAAAUAAAAAAAUAAUGCUGCAUAUAGUGUGACAAAGUCAUUAGUCUGAAAGAUUUCUCUGUAAAGUGUGUAGUUACUCUGAAAUAUCCAGGGCUUUCUUAUGUGUCGUCUUCUACUAUUGGGUUUGGAGAUGUUGGCUUCGACUACAACUACUUUUCUACAUAAGUUCUGGGAGUUUGACAUUUUGUCAUGUUGGACUGCUAGUUUACUUCAAUUGCUUUAUGGUUAAGCAUGCAAUCUUAAUAAAGCAAAAGAAAAAUGUGAGUAUUAUGGGAGAUAGGUCUGAAGGUCGACACAAUAAUAAAGCAAAAUAGAAAGAAUUUGAGAUUAGAUUUCUUGUUGUGACAGUAGUGGAUAGGUCCAACUUGUAAUUUAGUUUGAAACACAAUGAUUCCAGCUCGGAUCUUGUUAAUUUUUUGCCUUAAUGCGUAUGUCGACAUCUAUUUCUGCAUUUCUAUUGCACCAUACAUGUUACUGUCAUGCUACCAAUCAAUGAUAUAAACUUUGUUGAAUAGUAGUUGGUGACGGGCAGCUGGGAUUUGGUUGUUGUAGAAUGGUAGGGUAAUGCAUAGGCCUGUUGCAGUUAGCUAGCAAGUUAGAUAAGCUGAUAUGCUCGACUCCUCAGCUUUAUAAAUUCGCUCAGGGCAGAGCAGCCUCAAAGCUAUACAUCAUCACCCUUCCUUGUUUGCCUGCCUUCUUCCUUUGUGGUUUUUUUUUUUUUGUGGUAGAAGAUCAAGAUGAGACCUGGUGGUCCCGGAGGACCUGGUGGUCCAGGAGGACCUGGCUGGCUUCCUCUGCCUGGGGGCCCUCCAGGUUGGGGCCCUGGACCCGGGGGACCGUUCGGGGGACCUGGCUGUUGUGGCCUCCUAGGCUCAUGCUUUUACUUCCUUUGCUGUUGCUGCUUGCUUCAAGAGUGCUGUGGGCCCUUGUUCGGUGGGCGUCCAGGCCCCCCUGGACCACCCUUUUAGUCUAAGCUGUCCAACCAGAUAGAAGGCACACAGAUAAAGAAAUAAUUAGAUGUAGACAGUGAACUGCUUAGAGCUAUCUAUGUACUUGAUCCUAUUUGGACCACUGUCUUAUUUUGGUAUCCCUCAUCCUGAAUGGUAUGCCGUAGUCUACUGCCAUGUAGAUUGUCUCAUGUCAGAUUAGCUGUCAUGAAUGAAAGAAAUCCAACCUUUGUUGGGGAGCUUUUGCUUCCUUCUCAAUAAUAUUGGAAGGUUCAUCGUUUGACAUCUGAA